rnacentral:rRNA from 2 species
UGGUAUUGAUUGGUGCUUGCAUCAUGAUUUACAUUUGAGUGAGUGGCGAACUGGUGAGUAACACGUGGGAAACCUGCCCAGAAGCGGGGGAUAACACCUGGAAACAGAUGCUAAUACCGCAUAACAACUUGGACCGCAUGGUCCGAGCUUGAAAGAUGGCUUCGGCUAUCACUUUUGGAUGGUCCCGCGGCGUAUUAGCUAGAUGGUGGGGUAACGGCUCACCAUGGCAAUGAUACGUAGCCGACCUGAGAGGGUAAUCGGCCACAUUGGGACUGAGACACGGCCCAAACUCCUACGGGAGGCAGCAGUAGGGAAUCUUCCACAAUGGACGAAAGUCUGAUGGAGCAACGCCGCGUGAGUGAAGAAGGGUUUCGGCUCGUAAAACUCUGUUGUUAAAGAAGAACAUAUCUGAGAGUAACUGUUCAGGUAUUGACGGUAUUUAACCAGAAAGCCACGGCUAACUACGUGCCAGCAGCCGCGGUAAUACGUAGGUGGCAAGCGUUGUCCGGAUUUAUUGGGCGUAAAGCGAGCGCAGGCGGUUUUUUAAGUCUGAUGUGAAAGCCUUCGGCUCAACCGAAGAAGUGCAUCGGAAACUGGGAAACUUGAGUGCAGAAGAGGACAGUGGAACUCCAUGUGUAGCGGUGAAAUGCGUAGAUAUAUGGAAGAACACCAGUGGCGAAGGCGGCUGUCUGGUCUGUAACUGACGCUGAGGCUCGAAAGUAUGGGUAGCAAACAGGAUUAGAUACCCUGGUAGUCCAUACCGUAAACGA